rnacentral:rRNA from 1 species
UGGGGAAUCUUGCACAAUGGGGGAAACCCUGAUGCAGCCAUGCCGCGUGGUGGAAGACACCCCUAUGGGGCGUAAACACCUUUUCUGUGGGAAGAACCCUCCGGUCCUCCGGAGCUGACGGUACCACAGGAAUAAGGACCGGCUAACUCCGUGCCAGCAGCCGCGGUAAUACGGAGGGUCCACGCGUUGUCCGGAAUCACUGGGCGUAAAGGGUGUGCAGGUGGGGCAGCAAGUCAGGGGUGAAAGCCCGCGGCUUAACCGCGGAAGCGCCUUUGAAACUGCUGCUCUUGAGUCCCGGAGAGGUUGCCGGAAUUCGUGGUGUAGCGGUGAAAUGCGUAGAUAUCACGAGGAACACCAGAGGCGAAAGCGGGCAACUGGACGGGUACUGACACUGAGGCACGAAAGCGUGGGGAGCAAACA